CGCGGGGCGAAGAGCGGCGAAAUCGCGCGGUUCGUCGCGUCAGUGGGCACUGCGAGCGCGGAAGGUGGCUCCUGCAGCCCGUGCGAGUGGACCGAGGCUGGUUCCCCUGCACCCCUUCAUGAGGAGAGUCUGUCUAUACUGGAGACCCGUUCUGAGCACAGGAGAGCAGUGGCAUUAGCACUCACUGCUGUGUGACCAUGCCUACCCUCUCCCACUGGCUCCAAAGGAAACAGCUGAGGAGAGCAGCUGCUGAAGCAUUUCUGCAGUGAAUGAAUACAAAUGUCAAGUCUUUAUUUCUUUUUGUCAUUACUGAAGAGCAUUUUGUGUGGGGAAGAAGAGGCAGUAUUUUGGAAUGAAGGAAUAGAGAGAACUUCUAAAGAAGUGCCUGGAAACCUGUGGAAUCUCCCUCAAAAGCAUUAUAAACAAGUUUGAUUCCUCACAUCAAUUUGGUGACCCAGAUGGGACAACCUGUGUUUGGCUGUGGGACCAGCUGAGAGGGGGGAUGCCUUUGCCACACCCUGAGAUGUUUUGGAAGGAGUCCUCUUCCUCAUUCAAUCACUGCAGGAACAGACAAGGACCAUCCAUCGGCGGACCUGGUACAUGUAU